rnacentral:rRNA from 1 species
GACAGAGGAUGCAAGCGUUAUCCGGAAUGAUUGGGCGUAAAGCGUCUGUAGGUGGCUUUUCAAGUCCGCCGUCAAAUCCCAGGGCUCAACCCUGGAAGGGCAUUCGAAACCGCUUCGCUAGAGUUCUGGAGAGGAAGGUGGAAUGCUUGGUGUAGAGGUGAAAUUCGUAGAUAUCAAGCGGAACACCGGUGGCGAAGGCGGUUCUCUGGGCAUGACCUGACGCUGAGGAGCGAAAGUGUGGGGAGCGAACAGG